rnacentral:rRNA from 1 species
GACAGAGGUGCCGAGCGUUAGGCGGAAUCACUGGGCUUAAAGCGUGUGUAGGCGGAUCGUUAAGUACCUUGUGAAAUCCCACGGCUCAACCGUGGAACGGCUGGGUAUACUGGCGGUCUUGGGCCAUUCAGGGGCGACUGGAACAAGCGGUGGAGCGGUGAAAUGCGUAGAUAUCGCUUGGAACGCCGAAGGUGAAAACAGGUCGCUGGGGGAUGUGCCGACGCUGAGACACGAAAGCCAGGGGAGCAAACGGGG